rnacentral:sRNA from 1 species
CUUUCUUGGAAGCAUUUUAUGACUCUUAUUUCUGUUACCAACACAGCUUUUAUUUAUGUCUGCAUGUAUCCUUUGAAGAAACACAACUUUCCAGGUUCUAUGUUUUAUUUGCAUUCUUAGUGUCUGGCACAUUGUCUGACACAGUGUAAAAGCUGAGUAGAAUUUUGCCUGAUAGCAGAUGUGCCUAAAGUGAGGGUGUCCAAAAUUUCAUUAAAUGACGACUGCUUUAAUAUGAAUUCUUGGCUAAGGCAGGAGAAUCGCUUGAACCCAGGAGGCAGAGGUUGCAGUGAGCCGAGAUCACACCACUGCACUCCAGCCUGGUGAGAGAGGGAGACUGCAUCUCAAAAAAAAAAAAAAAAAUAUAUAUAUAUAUAUAUAUAUGAAUUCUUACUGAUAGUAUUAAAUGAUUAUCUCUUUACAUUCACAGUAAUGUCUUACAAUAACAGAAUGCAGGAGAGCACAUAUCAAUGAAGAAAAGACAAAAUGUACUUAUCCAUGAAGCUGAGGUUAAGAAACCAGUGUCUUCAAGAGCCAGGGACAGCACUGGGUCUGUGCAGAGUUGAGAGAUGGUGAUGACAUGUGGUUUCCAGCAUUCCUCGCCCAGUCCAGGGACACUGUGGGUGUGCCCAGCUUAAGUCCAGUCCAGUAACUGGAAAUACAAGCCCAAGUUCUGGAGAGUUUGAGCUGCAGAGAUAUAUAUGGGAACACUUUGAACCUUGACUCAUUGGCCAUAACCAGUAGAGUGGAAAAUACAAGAAGAGAAAAAAACAUUGAACUGCGAUUUUAUAACAUCCUUUACUCGGCAGAGAGAAGAGGAAACACCAGGAAAGAAAACUGUAUUACGAUGUGAAAACUUAACGUUGAGAAAUUCAGGCAUCUUGGGGUUAGUGAGGAGAAGUUUUAGGGGCUUAGAUUCUUCAAAACACAUGUACAGAAAUGCAUAUUUCAUCUGAUAUCAAAUGACAUUUAUAGUGCUAAUCUUUACCUCAAGACUUCACAUCUUUUGGUGAUUGUAUCUUUUAGGUUUAUAGCAGCUAAGUUUGCAUGAAAACACCAGGGCUGUUUCAUUUCAGUCAAGAAUUAAUGUUCAUUGAUUGUGCUUCUGCAUUUCAUGUAACUAUUGUAGAAUUUGUUUUAGUUUUAUGAGGGAAUAAUUGGUCCAACUUCUAUAUAACUCAGGAAUUUACUCUCAAACAACACUGUCAAUUAGUUACUUAUCUCUCUGGAAAUGAUCUGGGAACAUGGAGAGGAAAGGGAGGAAGGGGCAAAAUCUGACCACUUAAAUCUAAGCAUAUUAGAUCAUUUUAUGCUAGAAAGUCCUGAAUGAUGUGACUUUCGUUCUUGUAAAACACCUCUUUCCAUAGAUUCAUGGCCCAAACAGUAUAUAAAGAGUGGGGAAGGAACUGCAUUUGCAAAUAGUUCAAAUCAUUGCUCCAUCUUAACUAUGCAGUUCACAAAGUGUGAAGAAAUUUGAUCAUCUCAAAAAAGAUAAUGGGGAAAAAUAUGUUUUGUUCUGUGACUUUAAAGUCUUGCAAUAUUUUACAUAAAUGAUAAUGGGUGCUUUAAUAAGAACCCUUGAUACUUUUGUUAUUGUAUUCAAUAUAUGCAUAUAAUACAAUAGGAUGAUAUUGUUUUGGAUUUGGAAAUGUAUUCUUUCUUAUGCAAUCUUAUGCAGUCAUACUGCUUGAAUAUCAUUACCUGAAUUUAUCUUUCUUUUUUUUGUUGUUGUUUUACACUCUACUUAUUUGGUGCCUGUCAGUCUUUUGUCAUCAGUUUAUAUUCUACUAAACUCAAAAAGACAAUCUCAUACCUUUUGUAAUUGUAGGCAUUCUUUACUAGAUUUUUAAAUACACUUCAAAAAUUCAAGUACUUUGAUUUCAUGCCAUCAAGUAGCUGAAUCUAUCCCCCCCUCUCUUUUUAAAUUUAAGUGAGUAGUUCAAUUUCUGUCACUUUCUACUUUGUGAAUUCUAAAUCUUUUAAAACCAUCUUGCCAUUUUUCGUGCACUUACCCUUACAGAAAACUCUGUGAAACACUACUUAUCUCUACCUUUAUGUUUUUAACUCCUUUUUUAUAUUACUAUUCCCUCUGCUUUCUAAAUGCACAUAUUAAUUUGUUCUUUUUAUUCUCUGCAGCUCUUCUCAGUAUAUGAAUUCAGUUUCCCAUCAGUCUCCAUACAAUUUUUAAAAAGUUGAGUAUUCUGUUAUUUUAAUAUGAUAUCUAGUGCCCAUAUUCUAAUUCUGCCUCUUAUUUUUAAAAUAAUUUUAUUGUUGAUUUAAAAUGACAACAGUUUCAAUUCCCAGAAAGUGAAAGGAAACAAAGGAAGAAUAUUAUGGGCUUAAUUUUUAUCAGUGAACUUGUAAGUGAAGAAAAGAUUUGGGGAAGGAAAUGAACAUAUUAUAUUGCAAAAUAGUAAGGAACAAUCAGAUGUGUUUUCUAGUCUCUGGAAAAGCAUGUUUCAAGAAAUUCAAUGAAAAGUUCGUCAUGCUUGCUUAGAUUGUUGAGAAGCAAAAAUGCUGAUGAACAUUUGGAAGCAAUGAGAAUGUAAUUCUAAUCAUACUAUUUUAAUAAUGUUGCAAAACUCUCCAAACACUACUCUGUGUGGAUGUCUUUCAGAAUAUGAUGAAUACUAGUAGUCUUAUUCUGCCCUUUUCUCUCUAUCACAAUGUAUACAUUGUAUAUUGCAUACACAUAUUUUCCAAAUAUUACAUAUAAUUUCAUGUAAUUUAUAGACCUAUUAAGGCCCAACCAUUUUCUUGGAUAGGGGAUUCUUUAGAAGUCCAGCUUAAAUAAAGCCCUUAUAGAAAGUUUUUUUAAAAUUUAUACAUAAUCACCUAAGGUAACCUUAUCUACUGAACUCUUAGUACAUGCUACCGGAACCUUUUAUCACGUUUCUUCCUGGCUUGCAUUACAACACUGUUGACAUAUCUCAGCCUUACUUCUAGGCUUCUUUGAGAGCAUGACUCAUGUUUGUAUUCCUCACUGAGGUUGAAUGAAUAAGAGAAACUACAGUAGUAGAAAAAACAGUACAUGUAGAUAUCAAUGAAUAUGAAAGGGUCAAAUGGAUCUAUUAUAGUAAGCACAAAAUCAACUGACACCAGCAAAGUAAACCCAAAAUUUUUAAUGGUAUUUUAAUAGAUCAAGAGGAACAAGCAGAUUUUUGAGACAGUUGUCUCCUACUUUCUCUAUCACAGGGAGUAAUUUUAAAAGAAAAAUGGAGGGUAAGUUUCUUUAAGAGAAAAUUGUAGUUUAAAACAGGUCAUGGGAUAAUUAGAAAUAAUUUAAUUUCUUUAGAGGAUUUUAAUCUUUCAACUGCUUGCAAUUAGAUCCUAAGGCAAUAAAAGAAUAAGGAGAUUUGGAAAACCAUUGUCUGUAAUCUCUGAAGAAAAGUGGACAUUAGGGGAGUCAGUUGAAAAGCAAAGCUAUCACCAUUUUCUAAAGAGGAAAAAGGUGAACCUCACAAACUAUAGACCAAAAAAAUAGGACAUCGAGAGAAAGAAUAUGAAGCUAGCAUAGGUUCACAAAGAAUGAGUCAAAUCAAACAACAUGCAUUUUUUAUUUAUAAAGCAUGACUUGUUCAUUGUCAAUUCAUGUUAGCUUAAUCAUUAGGCAUUAAUGCCAUCACUGCAAUGCAUAUGUCAGUAAUAAAUAAUCAAAGACCAGGCUUCCAUCAUUCUGUUUAAUAUCUUCAAGUAAUGCUUAAGUUUGCAAAUGCUCUUUUAACACAUUCUCCAUAUGCAGCCUGCCCAGCACUGCACACAACAGACCUGUUACUUCCCCCUCACGAGCACUCCUAAUAUUUCAUGUGCUCAUCCAAUUGACUUCUCCCACUGGUGCCUCAUAUUGAAUUUGUAGAAUCACACCUGCUCCUUUUUCAAAACUCUUCUGAGUUUUUUCUUAAAUAAUUCACUGACCCCAAAGUUGUCAGAUAUUUGAAGACUACUCGCACAAUUUUAAUAUUAUAAAUGUAUAAUGUAAAUGUAAUUAAGAUUUGUAUAAUGUACGAUGUACUUUGGUAAAUAAAAGUAUGCUGUGAAUAAAUACGUAUGAUACAAUUCAAAAUUUUACAUAAAUAUGUGAUAAAAUUUAGCUCAUAUUCUUUUCUUUUUUUUCUUUGAGACGGAGUCUCACUCUGUCGCACCCAGGCUGGAGUGCAGCAGCAUGAUCUCAGCUCACUGCAACCUCUACCUCCUGGGUUCAAACGAUUCUCCUGCCUCAGCCUCCUGAGUAGCUGGGAUUACAGGUGCCCACCACCAUGCCCAGCUAAUUUUUUUCUAUUUUUGUUGUUGUUGUUUUUAGUAGAGACGGGGUUUCACCAUGUUGGUCAGGCUGGUCUUGAACUCCUGACCUCAGAUAAUCCACCUGCCUCGGCCUCCCAAAGUUCUGGGAUUACAGACGGUGCCCGGCCUAGUUCAUGUUCUUUGAGGACAAUUAUGAAUAUUUUUAUGCACUGUUAAUUUUCAUUAAGAUAUUGAUCAAUUAAUAGCUAUAUAUGUUCUAUAAAUUAAUCCUAUCUAGUUUCAAUCUUAAAUUGUUUGCAUAUACUAAUCUAGUUUAUUGUUUGCAUAUAUUUUAUAGUGUAGAAAUUAGGCAUUUUAAUAAAAUUUUAAAAUUUCCAGGACAUACUGUUAAUGACUAUGCUUCCUACUAUAGGCCAUAAUUAAUUUUUUUCUAUUGUCAACAAUAUUUUGGUAGGGAUGAUCAGGAAAUAAGGAAAUGUUUCCUUCAUUUGUUAACAAUAGGUGUUUGGGGAUUUUAAAAUGAAAAUUGAAGAAGUAAAAGACACCAUAUAUUUAGUUUGUUUGAUUUCGUGGCUUCAAGAGCUCAAUAAUUUAUUGAAAUAUUUUACAGACCAAAGAACAACAGAUAUAUUACGUUUAUAAGCCCCCACAUAUUUUAAAGGAUAAUGGUUUAUAUAUGAAAAUUCCCUGAACCUACACUUCAUCAGGAAAGGCUAAAUAAAAGAAGUUUACAUUUCCUAGGACUAAUGGAGAUUUAUUUCCCAGUCCUCUUCUCUGGAGACAAAUGUAGGUCUCUCUUGAAAAGCAGAAAGAUUUGCAUAUGAGGUAUGAUUUAGUGGGCUAGAAACAUCUUUUCCACCCUCCCCAAAAUGUUUCACUAUGUUUUAUCAUACUAUCUGAUAAUUUUGCACUAAAGUUUUCUUUCUGUGUUAAGAAAAUGCAAAUAUCUCUGAAUGGGUCUCUUUGCUUUAUUCAUACUCAUAUGGCUACUACUGAACAAAAUAUGUUCAUUACAGGAUGAAGGGAAUGUUGCCAGCCAGCAAAUCCCUAGAGUCUGCACUACACCAAACGUUGCUUAGCAAUUUCCAGGAUUUUCUCAGUCUAAUUUGCAAGAAUCAAGGAGAUGUUUGUGUAUGCUACAUGAAGUUGUAAAAUUGGUAUUUAUUGUAUGUUUCUAUAUUGAAAGCUUUACAAACAAAGGAAAUGGAAAGUUAACAGGUGGAUAUGAUAGUGUGGCACUACUUUAGCUGGAUGGUAAGGGAGAGCUUCUCUUAGGAAGUGUUUUAGGCCAGGACUUGAAUAAUGAACAGUAUCUAGUUGUACAAAAAUCUGGAGGAAAGACUUUUCAGGCCCAGGAGAAAUGAAAAUUCUUUUCAUGCAUACAAGAAUGAAAGUGAAAAUUACCUACUCUAUGUCCUGAAGUGGGAAGUUGGCUUGCCAGAGAGUAGGUAAUUUUCACUUUGAUUCUUUCAUGCCUUCAGUUAUACUACUUCUUAGGUUAGUUCAUAAGGGCUUCCACAAUUUGGUUCCCACUUAAAAUUUAAAACUUCCCUAACCCAUUCCCACCAUAUAUUGUGCUAAUCCAUGCAUAUGUGACUUUGCGUAUGCUGUUUUCAUUGUUUAAUAUUCUUCUCAUGCAUUCUUUCUUUCCUGAUAACGAACUCAUCUUUGAAACUCCCCUUCAAGCAUCCUCUCCUUUAGGAGGCCGCUUCUCACUGUCUCCUGCCUACCAACCAUUGAAUUGUUCGAUUUUUAAGCUGCCAUUGUCUUGUGCAGUUGACACAUUUCUUUGCAAUUACUGAUUUACAUGUCUGCUUUUAUCACUGGUGAGGUUCUUUAGGAGAGAGACAUUAUUAAUUCAUCUCUGGGCACAUAUGUUCCAACAUAUUAGAAGUACUACAGAGUGCUAUUUCUAUGUAGUAUGUAGUAUUAGUAGGAGUUACUCACAAAUCAUUUUUAAAUAAGUGAUUAUAAUAUCUUUUUGUUAUUAUGAUUUAACACAAGAUAGAAUUUAUUUUCAGAAGUUUCCAUGAUAUAUUUGUUCUAUUUAAAAUCCAAUAGCCAUUAGAAUAUUACCAUUAUUUAAUGUAAAACAAUAAAAUAUUAAAUAUGAUCAUUCAUAUUUAAUGCAAACCGAACUCAUGGAAAUAUUGUGUAAAGAUCAAGUAAUUUUUGACAUACAAUUUUAAACUCAACUUUUCAUAUAGCAUACCUUAUGAUAUAUUUUCAGCCUACUUUUAAAUAUGUUGGCAUUGAAAGCCAGUUACUAAUUCGCUGAAUUCAUGAUUUCUUUUUAAGUUAUAGAAGUGGAAUUAUGUUUGAGACAUUCAUUGCAUUACAUUUACCAGAACUUGAGUUCUUAACAUGGAACCUGAGAGUUUCUCCAAUUCUUAAGUCCCUGGGAGAAAUAGAUUAGCUGGAUGAGGAACUGAGAGGAAAAAUGGUCGGAGAUGUAGCAAGAGUUGGGAAGAAGGAACAAUGAUUUGCUUUCAAGGAGAUUUCUUCAUUGGUCUGUUUUCAGUGACAAACCCACUGCGAUAAUACAUGUAAAGUGAAAACAUUCAGGAAGUUCCCUUAGAAACCUUUUUCUGGCAGUUCCUAAUUCUACAACAUUGUAUAAGUGAAAUACCAUAGUUACUGUCAUAGUAAAUUGAGCCAAGAGAAACAAGGGAGCAGGAGAAGAAAAGAAUUAAAGAGAGUUUUGUCUUUCAGUCUUCACUCUGUUUCUUCUUGCUUUUACCAGUCAUUCAGGUUUAUAUAAUUUCUUUAGAGAGGCUUCUACUAUGCAGGUCUUCCUUCAAGUCAUUGGUAUUACCUGGCAUGAUAUGUGAGCCUUUAAUAUCAGUCCCUUUAUCUCUUUAUUUUUAAAGUUUAUAUCAGUAUGGAGUCCUGGAUUCUUAAUUAAUUUAAUAGGUUAGACUUUACUGCUAACAUUCUUCAUUUUGAUGCUCAAAUUUUCCAAAAUUUGGCCAGCAGGGUUCCUUAAAGCUGGGUACCUUGCCCUUUCAACAUGUCCCUCUGAUUCUUUAUUUUUAUUUACUUAUUUAUUUAUUUAUUUAGAGACUGAGUCUUGCUCUGUCUCCCAGGCUGGAGUGCAAUGGCACAAUCUUGGCUCACUGCAACCUCUAUCUCCCAGGUUCAAGCAAUUCUCCUCCCUCAGCCUCCCGAGCAACUGGGACUACAGGCAUGUGCAACCAUGCCUGGCUAAUUUUUUUUGUAUUUUUAGUAGAGACAGGGUUUCACCAUGUUGGUCAGGCUGGUCUCGAUCUCCUCACCUCAAAUGAUCCAUCGCCUCGGCCUCCCAAAGUGCUGGGAUUACAGGCGUGAGCUGCCACACCCAGCCGUCCCUCUCAUUCUUUAAGUACUUCUAUGUUUUCUAAGGUACAAGAUGUUCCAUAUUAUUUUGUUAUUUGUCUUCCCCAGCUCUGAAAUCUGCCUUUCCUUCAAGGAGCCUUGGUUCUUUCUAGUGACAAAUUAUAUUUAGAAACGAAGAUCUGGGUAUUUGACUUGUAUAUUGCUAUUAAUUGGCCAUUGUUUCUAGUCUCUUUCAGUAGACAGAGCUAAGAAAUGUAAAAGGAAAUAUUUGAAUGUAUGUAUAUGUGAUAUAUUAAGUACAUUUAAACAUAUUAAGUUCAUGAGUUCAUACUAAUACUUUCAAUAAGCCACAAUUCCCUUUUCAUGUUUUCGAAGGAAAAAUAUCCAUUGUCUAUAUACAGUGGACAUAGAUAGUAAUAAUACUGAUCUUGAAAAGAGCAGUCUUAAAUAGAUCCCAUUAAUAGUUAAAGAUAACAUAUCUUAGAAUUCUAGAUAUUAGAGAGAUUAUCUAGAGCUGUAAUCUAGAUAUUUUAUAGAUCUUUGCUGUGCUGUUUUGAAUUUGUGUUGGAGUAGAACAAUCAGAUGACAAAAGCUCAUCCCACAUGGAAAAAUCAAAGCAUUCAUUACAGAGAGAAUUUUGAAAUAAAUGCAUAUAUAAAAUAUAUAUAUGCAUAUAUAAUGCAUAUGUAUAUGCAUAUAAAAUAUAUAUAUAAAAUGGGGGUUAUAAACAAUGAAGGAAAUAGUGAUACUAUCUAUGUGGGAACAAUACUAGUAUCCUCCCUUUGGAUGAAUACAGUAGCUACAGAUGCAAUUCUGGGGACUCUGUUUAGCAAUAGCUUAACUAUUGCUUGGCUACAAGCAUGGAUAACUUGUUCAAAGAUAAUGAGGAGUUGUAAAUAUUUAAAUAAACAGGAUUUGCAACAUAAAAA